GAUGAACGCUGGCGGCGUGCCUAAUACAUGCAAGUCGAGCGAACGGACGAGAAACUUGCUUCUCUGAUGUUAGCGGCGGACGGGUGAGUAACACGUGGAUAACCUACCUAUAACACUGGGAUAACUUCGGGAAACCGGAGCUAACACCGGAUAAUAUUUUGAACCGCAUGGUUCAAAAGUGAAAGACGGUCUUGCUGUCACUUGUAGAUGGAUCCGCGCUGCAUUAGCUAGUUGGUAAGGUAACGGCUUACCAAGGCAACGAUGCAUAGACGACCUGAGAGGGUGAUAGGGCACACUAGAACUGAGACACGGUCCAGACUACUACGGGAGGCAGCAGAGGGGAAUGUUACGCAAUGGGCGGAAGCCUGACGGAGCACCGCCGAGUGAGUGAUGAAGGUCUUCGGAUCGUAAAAGUCUGUUAUUAGGGAGGAACAUAAGUGUAAGUAACUGUGCACAUCUUGACGGUACCGAAUCAGAAAGCCACGGCUAACUACGUG
rnacentral:rRNA from 1 species